rnacentral:tRNA from 1 species
AGGAGUUUAGGAUAAAUUAAACCAAAAGCCUUCAAAGCUUUAAAUAGAAGCUAACACCUCUAACUCCUG